rnacentral:rRNA from 1 species
AGAUUGAACGCUGGCGGCAGGCCUAACACAUGCAAGUCGAGCGGUAGAGAGGUGCUUGCACCUCUUGAGAGCGGCGGACAGGUGAGUAAUGCCUAGGAAUCUGCCUAGUGGUGGGGGAUAACGUUCGGAAACGGACGCUAAUACCGCAUACGUCCUACGGGGAGAAAGCGGGGGACCUUCGGGCCUCGCGCCAUUAGAUGAGUCCUAGGGUCGGAUUAGC